CAAAAUUUACUUUUAAAACAACCCAUUAUAUUUUGCUGGCAACGUUGCCGAGCAACAACGAAUUUUUUGUUCACUUUUACCAGAUAUCUUUUUGAAUUGAAACUAGUGUUAAUCACAUGUUCACGAAAAAUAUUCUAAAAACGGUCCGAAUUGGAGUAUUUUGGCUUACAUUUCAAGCUGGGAAUACAGAUAACGGCUACGACUCCAACUCUUUGCAAAUAAUUGAGCGUCCAGAAGUGGAAACAUUAUUGCAGCCUCCAUUCUUAGCAGACCGGUCAAAAUGCAUUGCAGGGCUUAACGGAUGGCGUAAACGUAAGGGCCUUCCUCCUGUAUCAAAACCUCUCAGCAAUAUCGACCAAAAUACACCAUCAGCUAAUAGAACCAGAGGGGAGUACACGGCAAGUUUUUUGCUUCAACAAUCUGACAAAGGCCGGGCCAUCAUUCAGGCAUACGACAGGACAAAUAGUCAUCGAUGAGUUUCAAGAUAAGUU